CAAACCUUCCAGCUCUCUGAUGGUCAGGACAUACUCGUGAUCAUGGAUAGUGAAGGUGAUGUAUCCCAAUCCUCCAUCUGACUCUAUGUCCGGAUCAUCCUCAUAGAGAUGUAUGGCAAGCGUACAGAGGAACUGAAUUGUCUCCUCUCGGUAUGCAUUUCGCGGACUAGUCAUGAGGGUGCUGAGAUGACAAUGCUCGAACAUAUACUCGACAUCACUCGAGAUAGCCAGCUCAUCCAUCGUCUGCUGCCAAGGAUACCUCGUGCCCUGAAACUCAUGCUGCUGGAAAAGCUUGUAAUACUCUCCCGGGGCUAACUACUUCUCUGUCUUCUUCUUCUGUACUGACUUGCGAGUUGGGACAGGUGGUUGCUCUUCAAACUCAUAAUCACUGUCAUCAUCCUGCAACUCCAUUUGUUUCUUACCCACUGGCUCUACCUCUUGUCUGAGAUGGACCAACACCAGACGCUUUCUGAUAAGCAGCUUUCUUCUUCUCCAUAUAAACCAUGGACAUAGACUGAGGAGAUGCACGCUCUGUUGGUUUACAACCAUACUUCUCACGCAUUUCAUGCAACAAAUCUCUUGACAUUGUGAAACUGAAACAGUUGAAACUCAAAGCUAAAAAUUAGCUCGUUAGUGUGCCAAAUAUCAAGAUAAAAUAGUCAAUUUAUAUAGAGAAAUGCAAAGGGAAGUAACACUUAGCAAAUUUAUCACUUUUGUACUUCUCGGUCGAGUGAGCUAUCCAAGGCAUACGCGGGUCGAGUGAGAGAGACGCAUCGGUCGAGUGAGUAUCCAGCUGGGUUUGGUCGAGUGAACUUGUGCUCGGUCGAGGUACACACGCAUAUGCAGAGUAAAUCAAUGGGAAGCUCGA
rnacentral:lncRNA from 1 species